AUUGUUGUUAACAGCUCUCUAGACUGGGACAGUCAAGUGGAGGCAUACCGAGCUUAUGUGGCCUUCCCAGAUUUUUUCCGUAAUUCAACUGCCUUGUGGUGGAAGAGGGAAAUUGCAGAACUAUACUCCAAUCCACAGAAUCCAGAGAAGAGCUUGAAGUUUGAUGGCAUGUGGAUUGAUAUGAAUGAACCAUCGAGUUUUGUCAAUGGGGCUGUUCCUUCAGGCUGCAGUGAUGCCAGUCUGAACCGUCCUCCCUACAUGCCACAUUUGGAGUCCAGGGACCGGGGCCUAAGCAGUAAGACCCUAUGCAUGGAGAGUGAGCAGAUCCUUCCAGAUGGCUCUCGGGUGCGGCACUAUGAUGUUCAUAGCCUG